rnacentral:lncRNA from 1 species
AAAUAAUAUUAUUAUUAUUAUUAUCUCUGAAGUGAAUAUAAAUUUUACACUCAAAUCAUCCAAAAUUAUAUAUUAUAUAUUAUUAUGCAUUAUUAUUCAGAACUCAAAUUAAAUUUUUAUAGGGUUGAGAUUGAUAUUUUAUAAUUUAUUCUUGAAUUUUUAGAUAUACAGAUGGUAUCUUUUUUUAUUUUUUUAAUCUAAUAUAAAAUAAAUAAAAGCUAAAAGCUAAAAUAUAUAUUU